UACGGAGGAUCCGAGCGUUAUCCGGAUUUAUUGGGUUUAAAGGGUGCGCAGGCGGGAGAUUAAGUCGGCGGUGAAAUUUUGCAGCUCAACUGUAAAAGUGCCUUCGAAACUGGUUUCCUUGAGUGUGGAUGAAGUAGGCGGAAUUUGUGGUGUAGCGGUGAAAUGCAUAGAUAUCACGAGGAACUCCGAUUGCGCAGGCAGCUUACUAAGCUACAACUGACGCUCAUGCACGAAGGCGUGGGGAUCAAACAGGAUUAGAUACCCG
rnacentral:rRNA from 1 species